CGCAUUGCGGGUGCUAUACAUGCAGUCGAGCGGACAGAUGGGAGCUUGCUCCCUGAUGUUAGCGGCGGACGGGUGAGUAACACGUGGGUAACCUGCCUGUAAGACUGGGAUAACUCCGGGAAACCGGGGCUAAUACCGGAUGGUUGUCUGAACCGCAUGGUUCAGACAUAAAAGGUGGCUUCGGCUACCACUUACAGAUGGACCCGCGGCGCAUUAGCUAGUUGGUGAGGUAACGGCUCACCAAGGCGACGAUGCGUAGCCGACCUGAGAGGGUGAUCGGCCACACUGGGACUGAGACACGGCCCAGACUCCUACGGGAGGCAGCAGUAGGGAAUCUUCCGCAAUGGACGAAAGUCUGACGGAGCAACGCCGCGUGAGUGAUGAAGGUUUUCGGAUCGUAAAGCUCUGUUGUUAGGGAAGAACAAGUGCCGUUCAAAUAGGGCGGCACCUUGACGGUACCUAACCAGAAAGCCACGGCUAACUACGUGCCAGCAGCCGCGGUAAUACGUAGGUGGCAAGCGUUGUCCGGAAUUAUUGGGCGUAAAGGGCUCGCAGGCGGUUUCUUAAGUCUGAUGUGAAAGCCCCCGGCUCAACCGGGGAGGGUCAUUGGAAACUGGGGAACUUGAGUGCAGAAGAGGAGAGUGGAAUUCCACGUGUAGCGGUGAAAUGCGUAGAGAUGUGGAGGAACACCAGUGGCGAA
rnacentral:rRNA from 1 species